rnacentral:rRNA from 1 species
CCUACGGGUGGCAGCAGUGGGGGAUAUUGCACAAUGGGGGGAACCCUGAUGCAGCGACGCCGCGUGGGCGAAGGAGCGUUUCGGCGCGUAAAGCUCUAUCGGCAGGGAAGAAGGAGGACGGUACCUGACUAAGAAGCCCCGGCUAACUACGUGCCAGCAGCCGCGGUAAUACGUAGGGGGCAAGCGUUAUCCGGAUUUCCUGGGUGGAAAGGGGGCGCAGACGGGAGCGCAAGCCAGGAGGGAAAGCUCGGGGCCCAACCCCGGGACUGCUUUUGGAACUGCGCGGCUGGAGUGCAGGAGGGGCGGGCGGAAUUCCUGGUGUAGCGGUGAAAUGCGUAGAUAUUAGGAGGAACACCAGUGGCGAAGGCGGCUUACUGGACUGUAACUGACGUUGAGGCUCGAAAGCGUGGGGAGCAAACAGGAUUAGAUACCCGAGUAGUC